GAAGCUGGAAUUGCUAGUAAUGGCAGGUCAGCAUACUGCCGUGAAUACGUUCCCGGGCCUUGUACACACCGCCCGUCACACCAUGAGAGUUGGAAAUACCCGAAGCCUGUGAGCUAACUGUAAAGAGGCAGCAGUCGAAGGUAGAGCCAAUGAUUGGGGUGAAGUCGUAACAAGGUACC
rnacentral:rRNA from 1 species